rnacentral:rRNA from 1 species
UACAGAGGGCUCAAGCGUUGUUCGGAUUCAUUGGGCGUAAAGGGUGCGUAGGCGGCGCGGUAAGUCGGGUGUGAAAUCUCGGAGCUUAACUCCGAAACUGCAUUCGAUACUGCCGUGCUUGAGGACUGGAGAGGAGACUGGAAUUUACGGUGUAGCGGUGAAAUGCGUAGAUAUCAGGAGGAACACCAGCGGCGAAGGCGCCGCUCUGGGCCGUAACUGACGCUGAGGAGCGAAAGCAUGGGUAGCAAACAGG